GGGCUCGCUUUGGCAGCACAUAUCAUAAAAUUGGAAUGAUACAGAGAAGAUAAGCAUGGCCCCCAAGUAAGGAUGACAUGCAAAUUCGUGAAGCGUUCCAAAUCUUA